GCUAAACGCGAAGAACCUUACCUACCUUUGAAUCCACGGAACCUAGCAGAGAUGUUGGGGUGCCUUCGGGAACCGUGAGACAGGUGCUGCAUGGCUGUCGUCAGCUCGUGUCGUGAGAUGUUGGGUUAAGUCCCAUAACGAGCGCAACCCUUGUCCUUAGUUGCCAUCAGGUUAUGCUGGGCACUUUAAGGAGACUGCCGGUGAUAAACCGGAGGAAGGUGGGGAUGACGUCAAGUCCUCAUGGCCCUUACAGGUAGGGCUACACACGUGCUACAAUGGGCAGUACAGAGGGAAGCCAACCCGCGAGGGGGAGCGAAUCUCAUAAAGCUGUUCGUAGUCCGGAUUGGAGUCUGCAACUCGACUCCAUGAAGUUGGAAUCGCUAGUAAUCGCGGAUCAGAAUGCCGCGGUGAAUACGUUCCCGGGUCUUGUACACACCG
rnacentral:rRNA from 1 species